rnacentral:lncRNA from 1 species
AUGAAUCUGUAAUGAACUUAAUUUCUAGUUCAUCUGUUUAUUUUUAACAUAUGAAUAUUUAUUUGCUUGAAUUGUUGAAAUUAGAAACUUUAAAAGAGGUGAAGGCAGCAUCCUUUAUGUUCUGAAACACAGUAUUUUAAAAAUGUAUUAUUUUCCUUAAUUUAGAAUUUAUAGCUUCUGUUCCCCCACUUACUGCCCAUUGAUGAAGUGAUAGUAAAGCAGUGUGAUUAUCUCAUUAUUUUAAAAUCGUAUCCAUUCUCAUAGCUGUAAUGGAGAGACAUGUAUAAAAAUGCCUGUAAGUUUCCCUUGUACAUAAAGCCAUCAAGUGAAAAAACUCAAUUAGUCAUGCCAGCCAUGAGAGGUUAGUUGGCUGCCACUGAAAUGCAAGGGGCUGGGUGGGGGAGCCCUCUGUCAGGCCCUGGGGUCUGGAAUUGAGAAUGUGGCCUGUUUUAAUAGGUAAACAGAAAACACUUAGAGCAAAUAACUCAGCUGUGUCCCAGGGAACCUACAUUAUUUCCCAGGGAAUGACUAUAGGUUGGAAGAAAUGGGUAAACUUUUCCUGGUUCUUUGACCUUCACUGUCUUUAGGUUCUCCGCGUGUGUUAUUUCAAGCACCCCCACCACCUCACUGCUUCCUAAAAUUUCCAUUUUCCUCUUCUAUUUGCUUAUUUCCUUCACAUAAUAAUUGCUUAUUGGAAUUUUCUUCAGUUGUAAAAAUUACAACAUUCUUAGAUAUUCUUAAACCAACAAAUGCAAACCUCCAUAAAGUCAUUCUGGUUAGUUUUAAAAUUGAUACCUACUAUUUGUUUUGCUUUGUUCCCCACAUUUCCACAGUAACAAUCUAAAAUGCUAUUUAAAAAUAUUAACAGUGUGCUAUUUAUAGUUGAAAUAAGAUCUAGUACAAUUUUUUUUUAUUAUUUCACAAAAAGAAUCUAACUUUAAAAAUUUACAGUAUUACAUUCCUACAAUUACCUGGACAAAGUAAUUGUGCACUUAUGUAAGAUAAAUUAACAUUUUGCAUAAAUUAGAAACCAUUACUAAUUACUUUCAUGUGGUUUUUUUCCUAUUUUUUUUUUUUAAAUUUCAUGUUUGUAUCAGCGUAAUAAAAUAUAAUACAUGAACUAGGACAUCAUCUUUUUUUUCAGUGCUGGAGGUCAAAACCAGGGCUUCUUACAUGGUAGGCACAUUCUCUACCACUGAGUUGCACUCCCAACUCCUUAAGCUUUUUAAAAUGGACUGUAGUAGAUCAAUUACUGAGAAUAAGAUACUGUCAAUGUGGAUGCUAGAUAAUCAUAACCUGAAUGUUUCUGUAAAGUUGGUAAUGUUUAAAUAAUAGCACCAAACUGACUAACCAUCAUGACUAUUGUACCUUUCAUUUUUAUUUAUGAUUGCCAAAGUAAAAAUUGGCACAUCCUUAGAAGGGAGCUUCCUAAAGGAAGUAUAAGAGCUUCUAAAAUUAGCAGUGGUGAUUCAUUUGAAUGAUACUUACUCUUCCUGAUCCUGAAACUCUGAUUUGAACCUGCAUUUCAUUUCAUGGUGAUUAUGUCUAUAAAUACCUCACCUAUGUAAACCCUUUCCUCCCUGAGAGAACAGCAAAAACCAGGGUAGGGGAUAGUGGAGACAAGGGAGUUGCAUGUGGGUGUAACCCUGAGUAGGACUUGAAAUUUAGACCUUUGUGGCCCAUGUCUGCCCAGAUUGCUAUCAGAAUUGCCUUUUUUUCUUAAGCCAAAUUUUAACUAACUAUUACUAUUUGGAUUUAAAAAAAA